AAUAGUUUUUUAAAUGGAAACUGGGAUGAAUGAAGUGAUGAGAUUUAUACUGUCUUAAAUUAAAUAAAUAAAUUUAUUAAUUAAGUAAAAAAACUUAGAUAAUUAUAUGGGACGAGAAGACCCUAUAGAAUUUUAUAUAAAUUUAAUAAUAAAUUUAAUAAUGUAUUUAUUGAUUUUAUAUUUUAUUGGGAGGAUAAUUAAAUUAGAUAAACUUUAAUAGUAUAAAUCCAUUUAUUUAUGAAUUAUAAAUUAGAGAGUGAUAAAAGUUUUAAGUAGAAUUAAUUACCUUAGGGAUAACAGCGUUAUAUUUUUAGAGAGAUCUUAUUGAUAAAAAUGAUUGC
rnacentral:rRNA from 1 species